rnacentral:lncRNA from 1 species
GAAAAUCAUUGAGACCGUGCUUUUGUUUUGCUAGUAAACACUGCUCUUUAAUUCAGAAAACAGUUUGUAUUGGCCUGGGGAAGCCUGUCUCAUUUGAUAAUGGGCUCUGAAUCCAGUGGAUUAUUGCAGGGAUUUUAUCUUGCAGUAAUCUCCAGGGAGAAAUGUACAAACAGCUGGGAGAGCAAGAAGGAACCGCAUUGUGCGGCAGGAGUUUGUGGAGCAGAAUUUUAGGGUGCUGGAGUGGAUCUCAACACCAACAUGAAUCUUUUCUGUUUUUCUCUGGAGGGCUCGAUGGACAGCCUGUAUGAGCCUGUCCCAGAGCAUCAGGAAGCCAAGGAUACAGCCACCCUUGAGAGCCAGGCUAGCACUCCAGUGAGCACACAGGGAAACUCUGGGCCACCUGACAGGUCCAUGUCUUUGGAGUUUCCUGACUUUGAGAACACACUGACCAAAAAAAGAAAACAGGAAAAAUGUGAAUGGCACACUUUGGCAGGGUUCCAGGAAGCCAGAGAAUGA